rnacentral:rRNA from 1 species
GACGAACGCUGGCGGCGUGCUUAACACAUGCAAGUCGAACGGAAAGGCCCUGCUUUUGUGGGGUGCUCGAGUGGCGAACGGGUGAGUAACACGUGAGUAACCUGCCCUUGACUUUGGGAUAACUUCAGGAAACUGGGGCUAAUACCGGAUAGGAGCUCCUGCUGCAUGGUGGGGGUUGGAAAGUCUCGGCGGUUGGGGAUGGACUCGCGGCUUAUCAGCUUGUUGGUGGGGUAGUGGCUUACCAAGGCUUUGACGGGUAGCCGGCCUGAGAGGGUGACCGGCCACAUUGGGACUGAGAUACGGCGCAGACUCCUACGGGAGGCAGCAGUGGGGAAUAUUGCACAAUGGGCGGAAGCCUGAUGCAGCAACGCCGCGUGCGGGAUGACGGCCUUCGGGUUGUAAACCGCUUUCGCCUGUGACGAAGCGUGAGUGACGGUAAUGGGUAAAGAAGCACCGGCUAACUACGUG